rnacentral:rRNA from 1 species
GGUGAACGCUGGCGGCGUGCUUAAGACAUGCAAGUCAAACGGCAGUCUUCGGACUGUAGUGGCGCACGGGUGAGUAACGCGUGACUGACCUACCCCAAAGUCGCGGAUAACGAUUCGAAAGAAUCGCUAAUACGUGAUGUGCUGUCAGAUUGUGUUCUUCCAGUAAAGAUUGAUUGCUUUGGGAUGGGGUUGCGUUCCAUCAGCUAGUUGGUGGGGUAAAGGCCCACCAAGGCGACGACGGACAGCCGGCCUGAGAGGGUGGCCGGCAACAGGGGCACUGAGACACGGGUCCCACUCCUACGGGAGGCAGCAGUUAGGAAUCUUCCACAAUGGGCGAAAGCCUGAUGGAGCGACGCCGCGUGAGGGAUGAAGGUCUUCGGAUCGUAAAUCUCUGAAUCAGGGACGAAAGACACUUCGGUGGGAUGACGGUACCUGAGUAAUAGCACCGGCUAACUCCGUGCCAGCCGCCGCAGUAACAC